ensembl:lncRNA
AAAUGUUUUCUCUUGGCUUUUCUUCCUUUACUUUUCAGAGCCAUCUUUCUAAUUUGAUUUUUUUCCACUCCAUUCUUCAGAUUCCUGGGAUUGUACCCUCAUGGGAGCAGCUUUCUGUGACAUUCGCAAUGAAAAUGAAGAUGAAUACAGUGAGCUGGAAGAAGCCAACGGUGUCUGGAAUAAAGUUUUCACCUUCAUUAUUCUCUUUAUUGUGGCCAUAUUUUAUGGCGGCCUUGUCACUUUCAUCAAGGUGAAAUAACCAUCAUCCCUUUCCUAUCAAUGAAGCACACAGUCAAAUGAGACCCCAUCUUUUCCCCUUCAUCAUCCAUUUCUCUCGCCCAUCCUUCAUGACAACUGUUUUAAGCUACACUGUUUUAAAUGUCACAAAAAAAACCUAUCUACUUUCACCUGACCCUGUCUCUACUUCUGCAGCCUUAACAAUAACAGGAAGAAACCAGUUGGUUUUCUACAUGGAAGAAAAAAGGCUCUAGGAAAGGAAAGAAAUUUAAUAUCUUUAUCCAAACCUUCACAAAUUCUAAGGAACUCAUUAAGGGUACACAAACACCAAAUUGUUAUCCUGUCCCCUUACAUCUCAAAGGGAAAAUGUUAAAAGAGCAAAGAGAAAUAUUGUGCACUUUUCAAGCCAAACCACCUGUGGAUCAUGAUUAAUUUACUGGCAUGGCACAUUGCAAGACGUGAUGGAUCCCCUGGCAUGCUAAAAUCCCUUUUCAAGAAUGACCCUGUUUUUAUUUUUCAAGAAAAGAGGGCAAAGGAAAACCCUUUCCCCCACUUCCAAUACUUAACUUACCAACUUAUUUUUCAGUAUCAGUUUUGUUCUCUUUUUUGUGUGUGUAGCCAGAGGUGGUAUUCAACCAGUUCGGACCAGUUUUGAAAUACCAGUCAUGGAGAUUUUGAGCAGUUCAGAGAACUGGCAAAUGCAACCUCUGGGCGGCCCUGCCCUCCUGCCUCCCCCGUUCCCUGGUCUAUAUUCCCUUGUUUUUUUAGCUCAGCCGAUUAACAUGGCAGAGCAGAUUGCUGCGCCUCAGCUGAGCUAAAAAACAGCUCAGCUCACCAGCUGAGUCUUUAAGUGGUCUUUGAGGUGGUGUUUGAGUGCUGCACAUGCGCUCAAAGUGCGUUCUCAUAGAACCGAUAGGAAAAGAUUUGGAAUCCCACCACUGUGUUUAGUCCUCUAGUGCUAAACAGCUGGUCACCUUUUUCUUUAAAGUCAAUUUAAUUAACUACUUCAUUUACUUCAAAUUGGGGCCAGAAAGUUUCUUAGUCCAAUGUAAAAAAUAGCAAACUGCUUCUAUAGCAGGGGUUCCCAACCUUUUCUAUAUCCCUCAUCCCUAGAACGCUUCUGAUAUAUUCUCACACCCCUUACAAAAGAAAAUAAUUAUAUGCAUAUAAUUAUUCAUAUACACUAUAAUUUUGAAAAUUCUCAACCCAAGCUUCUGUACCCGCUGGAAUAUUAUCUUGCAACCCCGGUUGGGAACCCCGUUCUAGAGUCCAAAAUCAACGGUUGUUUUGUUUGAAAGUAGAGGUAUCCAGAAAC